rnacentral:antisense_RNA from 1 species
CCUGAUGGCGGCUGUGUGCAGGGCACUCUCGAGUGCGCCGAUUUCUUAGCUCGUCGGUCGACUAACCUGUGCACAGCUGCCUCCCUA